rnacentral:rRNA from 1 species
AAUCUUCCACAAUGGGCGAAAGCCUGAUGCAGCAACGCCGCGUGAGUGAUGAAGGACUUCGGGUCGUAAAACUCUGUUGUAAGGGAAGAACAAGUACAUUCGUAACUGGCUGUACCUUGACGGUACCUUAUUAGAAAGCCACGGCUAACUACGUGCCAGCAGCCGCGGUAAUACGUAGGGGCCAAGCGUUGUCCGGAAUUAAUGGGCGUAAAGGGCGCGGAGGUGGUUUCUUAAGUCUGAUGGGAAAGCCCACGGCUCAACCGUAGAAGGUCAUUGGAAACUGGGAGACUUGAGUGCAGAAGAGGAUAGUGGAAAUCCAAGUGUAGCGGUGAAAUGCGUAGAGAUUUGGAGGAACACCAGUGGCGAAGGCGACUAUCAGGUCUGUAACUGACACUGAGGCGCGAAAGCGUGGGGAGCAAACAGG